UACGAAGGGGGCUAGCGUUGUUCGGAAUUACUGGGCGUAAAGGGCGCGUAGGCGGUCCUUCAAGUCAGGCGUGAAAGCCCCGGGCUCAACCUGGGAACCGCGCUUGAGACUGGAGAACUAGAGUUCGGGAGAGGAUGGUGGAAUUCCCAGUGUAGAGGUGAAAUUCGUAGAUAUUGGGAAGAACACCGAUGGCGAAGGCAGCCAGCUGGACCGACACUGACGCUGAGGCGCGAAAGCGUGGGGAGCAAACAGG
rnacentral:rRNA from 1 species